rnacentral:rRNA from 1 species
AUUGAACGCUGGCGGCAGGCCUAACACAUGCAAGUCGAACGGUAGCACAGAGAGCUUGCUCUCGGGUGACGAGUGGCGGACGGGUGAGUAAUGUCUGGGAAACUGCCCGAUGGAGGGGGAUAACUACUGGAAACGGUAGCUAAUACCGCAUAACGUCGCAAGACCAAAGUGGGGGACCUUCGGGCCUCACACCAUCGGAUGUGCCCAGAUGGGAUUGGCUAGUAGGUGGGGUAAUGGCUCACCUAGGCGACGAUCCCUAGCUGGUCUGAGAGGAUGACCAGCCAAACAAGAACUGAGACACGGUCCAGACUCCUACGGCAGGCAGCAGUGGGGAAUAUUGCACAAUGGGCGCAAGCCUGAUGCAGCCAUGCCGCGUGUAUGUAGGAGGCCGUCGGGUUGUAAAGUACUUUCAGCGGGGAGGAAGGCGGUGAAGUUAAUAACUUCACCGAUUGACGUUACCCGCAGAAGAAGCACCGGCUAACUCCGUGCCAGCCGCCGCGGUAA